AACGAACGCUGGCGGCAGGCCUAACACAUGCAAGUCGAACGAGAUCUUCGGAUUUAGUGGCGCACGGGUGAGUAACACGUGGGAAUCUACCUAUCAGUACGGGAUAACAGUUGGAAACGACUGCUAAUACCGUAUACGCCCUUAGGGGGAAAGAUUUAUUGCUGAUAGAUGAGCCCGCGUCCAAUUAGAUAGUUGGUGAGGUAAUGGCUCACCAAGUCUACGAUUGGUAGCUGGUCUGAGAGGAUGACCAGUCACACUGGGACUGAGACACGGCCCAG
rnacentral:rRNA from 1 species